rnacentral:rRNA from 13 species
GUAGCGAAAUUCCUUGUCGGGUAAAUUCCGACCUGCACGAAUGGCGUAACGACUUCCCCGCUGUCUCCAACAUCGACUCAGCGAAAUUGAAUUACCUGUCAAGAUGCAGGUUUCCCGCGGUUAGACGGAAAGACCCCGUGCACCUUUACUAUAGCUUCACACUGGACUUUGACCUUAUUUGUGUAGGAUAGGUGGGAGACUUUGAAGCGUUGUCGCUAGACAGCGUGGAGUCACCCUUGAAAUACCACCCUGAUAAUGUCGAGGUUCUAACUUAGCGCCUGAAACGGGCGUGAGGACAGUGUGUGGUGGGUAGUUUGACUGGGGCGGGCUCCUCCUAAAGAGUAACGGAGGAUCACGAAGGUUGGCUAAGUAUGGU